rnacentral:rRNA from 1 species
UGUGACAUACCUAAAACGUUGCUUCGGCGGGAACAGACGGCCCUGUAACAACGGGCCGCCCCCGCCAGAGGACCCCUAACUCUGUUUUUAUAAUGUUUUUCUGAGUAAACAAGCAAAUAAAUUAAAACUUUCAACAACGGAUCUCUUGGCUCUGGCAUCGAUGAAGAACGCAGCGAAAUGCGAUAAGUAAUGUGAAUUGCAGAAUUCAGUGAAUCAUCGAAUCUUUGAACGCACAUUGCGCCCGCCAGUAUUCUGGCGGGCAUGCCUGUUCGAGCGUCAUUACAACCCUCAGGCCCCCGGGCCUGGCGUUGGGGAUCGGCGGAAGCCCCCUGUGGGCACACGCCGUCCCUCAAAUACAGUGGCGGUCCCGCCGCAGCUUCCAUUGCGUAGUAGCUAACACCUCGCAACUGGAGAGCGGCGCGGCCAUGCCGUAAAACACCCAACUUCUGAAUGUUGACCUCGAAUCAGGUAGGAAUACCCGCUGAACUUAAGCAUAUCAAA